CUUCACGGCGCCAACUCUCAGAGCAUCAGAGGACGAUGCUCAGGGAUCUGGGCUCUGGCCGCCUUCUCCUCUGUGUGACCUCCAGCAAGUUCCUUCCCCUCUCUGCCCAUCAGCUUCUUCACUUAGACAAGGAGGUAGGUGCGCUCUAUUUAAAUAUCUUAGGGUAGGUUCCCACCCCAUGACAAGCAUCAAUGGGAAAGUGACUUAUUAGGAAGGAAAACCAGUAGAGGAAUGGGGGAGUGGGACCAGGAAGGAUGGAGGCCAUGCAAGGGUGCAGUGUCAGGCAAAGUCCCCUGAAGACUCCCACUUGGCUCCAUCCCACAGGGAACCCCAGGGACAGUGUAGGUCACACCCCAGAGUGCCUUGAUUGGGAGUGAGAGAGCUGGAACAUUUCCAUGCUGCACUGGCAAUCAGUGGGCAUCCUUGGAGGGGUGUAGAUUCCCAGGCACCUCCAGCUCGCUGUGCGCAUAGGCCAAGUGGACUCCCGCAGCCUGCAGGCAGCCCUCAGAAGCAGACGCAGAGGCUGCCUUUCCAGAGUGAGAAUGGAAAAGGGCUCUGAGGCAAUAUGGGUGGAGUUCUGACACGGUCUCUACUGGGACAUGUAAGAGGGCCCUUCCCACACAACACUCUACAAACCUUCUGGAAAUGUGGCUUUGAGUCCUGCCAAAGGACUUGACAGUUAUGCCAGCCUGUGCAAGUUACUGUAUCUCUUUAAAGCUCAACCUACUCAACUGUGACACCAGAGAUAGCGACAUCUCCUCUGCUGGCCUCCUUCCAGGUAGAGACGUCCCUGAUUAACUGCAGAGAGUUGCACAAAUGGCUGGUGUUGCUAUCAUGAUCCUUCUCCAUUAUACUUAAAGCAAUUUUAAGAGAUUCUGAGGCUUGCUCCUUAUAUUACUGCAUGGCUAUGGGCUGUAAUAACCCCCAAACUUUAGUGACUUAACACAAUAAGGGGAUAUAUCUUACUCACGUAGCAGUACAAAAUAGGUGUGUCUAGAUUGUGGUGGGGGACAAGGUGGAUGAGAUAUUGGCUCAACUCAGUUGAGUCUGGGUCAUUCCGGGACCCAGACUGACAGCAGCUCUGCCAUCUUCAUCAUGUAGUUCCCAAGGUCACCCUGGACGUUGACCUUGAGCUGACAGACAGGGGAAUAGAGACAGGAUCACACGUGGGAGGCUCCCAUGGAGCAUGCUGCCCCUGUUCCAUUGGCUAGAAGUCGGUCACUUGACCACAUCUACCUGCAAAGAAACAUGGUCUAGCUGUGUCCCCAGGAAGAGAAGGAAAAAGGUUUGGUGGUGAGCAUGUGGGCUCUGUCCCACUCCUGAAUUUGACAGCUGUCCUCUUGGAGAUGUGAACUCCUCUCUUCCUCUCUCAGUAGUUCCCACUCUGAGGUUUUUGUCUGUGCCUCAUCGCCUCUUCCUGUCCAGGCCCACUCUCUGUGGGUGCCACUGCUCUGCCCCCUCACAUCGCCCACACUCUGCUUAUAGGCCAAUUCCUGGAUUCCUGCUUCGUCUCCACCUGGAGGACACACCUUACUAUAGUAGGUCCUUUACGGGAGCAAUGAUGUGUAUUCGUAGUUUCAAAGCUACUCCGUAGCAGUAAGGCCCUCAACGCAGCAUUUAAACACAGAGAGCUCUUCUUUCCUCCCCUUUUACUCCUGCCACUUUGGGGUUGCUAUUGCCCACAGUGGAUAAUCGCCAUUUCAGAAAGAAGGUCUAUUCUCACCUGGCCGCUGCAGUUUCAGCACUUGGACACUUCCAAGGGAAGAGGGUGGCCAGAAACAGGACCUCAUUUCACCCUUAGCAUCCCACAGACUACGAAUAUUUCAUUUUAUCUAGAAGACAAGCCAGGCACCACCCGGAGGUCAGAGACUUGCCAGUGUGACCAGAUUUCAAAGGAGAAAGCCUGGGUCCAUGACCAAGAGUGGACAAGACCUGUGGCUACUCAGAUCAAGAGAGGGACUUUCAGAUCUCCUGCUUCAGGACAUUAGCUUGGCUACCUAAAGGGUGUGGAACUGAGCAAUGUCACAUUCUUCAGGAGCUUCUGUCCCAUCCCUUCCCCCUGCGUCUCUCAAAUCUAGAAGUAUCCAUGGUUAGACUCUUGCCCUGAGAGAUAGGGAACCAAGUUUCUAUUCGUCCUUUAAUCCUUCUUCCAGGGCUCAGAUUCUUUAGAAUCCAACAGCUUGGGCUGAUAAACAGCUACAACAGUGAUAGCUAAAAUCAUGCAGCUGACUGGGGACGAGUUUCUGUAAUUCUGUAGUCAACCUCUGAGGGUGCGUUCUCAGGGGCAGCCCGUUUCCCAGGCUUGGAGGUAAUUAUGGGCCCUGGAGACCACCUGUGACUGCUCCAGUCCACUUAUGUGGCCUAAGACCCAGAAUAAGUCAUGUCCCUCCGUAAGCCCUAGUUUCUUCGUCAGUAAAAUGUGGUGGCUGAACAAAAUUAUCCGUGAGGUCCCUUCCGGCUCUGACACCCUCCCAUUGGACGUCCGCCCGGGCCAACAGCUUGUCAUCCUUUGAAGAAUAAGCCUACGGUUGCAGAGGGCGCAGUUCCAUGGGACGCCAGGAGAGGGCAGCAGGCGGCGAACGGCAGGUGCUGCCGAAUUCCGGUGACGCGCGCCAGAUGCAAGGAAGGAUUUCCAGAGGAAGAAGAAGUUCCACAGUCCUUGCCUCCUGCAGAGCUACCCGGGUUCCUGGCCUCUUGGACAUGCCGGCCCCUGAAGGCCGCAUGCCCCUGGCUGCCAUCCAGCCUGCUCUGGUGCCUGCGCUGGCAAAGGGACAGAGUCAGCUCUGAGCCAAGGCCUUAGGAGGCAUUGAGUAUUUGCUCACGGUCCUGCACACCUGUGAUCUGGCCCAGAAAGAACGAGCAGCUCUGAAGAGAACAAGUGAGGGACAUGCAGAGCCUGAACCAACUCAGAGCCCGAAGCCAGGCCCAGAUGACCAGCACCUGGGGCAGAGCUGGCCCUGCUGGCCCACAGACCUGUGGUGGGAAGAAUAAAUGCUUGUCAUAAGUCACUGAAUUGGAAGGGUUUAUUGGGCAGGUUCUUGUGGCAAUACUCUCUCAGAGCAGCUUCUCCAGGAAGCAGACUCUGAGACAGAGAACUGUGUGCAG
ensembl:lncRNA